rnacentral:lncRNA from 10 species
AUGGGACGCAAAGAGAUAUUUUGAUACAUGCAUGCAAUGUGCAAUGUUUAGAUCCAAGUAAUUAGUAAUUAGCAUAUUCAUCACCUUGAACAUUGAUCAUUUCUCUGUGUUGUGAACAUUCAAAAUCCUCUCCUCUAGCUUUUUUUGAAAAUGUACACUAAAUUAUUGUUAACCAUAUUAGCCUUACAGUGCUACAGUACACUAGAAGCAUUCCUCCAUCUAGGCAUAAUUUUGCAGCCAUUAACCAACCUCUCCUAUCCUCCCUCCCUCCUACCCUUUCCAACCUCAAAUGACCUCAAUUCUACUCUCUACUUCUAUGAGCUUAUUUUUUUCUCCCACAUAUGCAUGAGAACAUGCAUUUAUUUUUCCAUGCCUGACUUAUUUUGCUUAAUAUAAUGUCCUCUAGGCUCAUCCAUGUUGCUGCAAAUGACAGGAUUUCUUACUUUUUUAUGGCUGAAUAGUACUCCUUUUGUGUGUGUGUGUGUGUGUGUGUGUGUGUAUAUAUAUAUCACACUCAAAUGUGAUAUGUAUGUAUAUCACAUUUACUUUACCUAUUCAUCUGUUCAUGAACAUUUGGCCACCUGACAUAUAUUCACUUAUUGCUCUCUUAUUUUUGUCAAACAUAAGCUUUUUGAGUGCAAAAACUUAGUCUGUUGGCUUCUUUUGUUGUUCAUUGAUAUAUCCCUAAUGCCUAAAAUAGUAUGUGGCACACAGAAGGUGUUCAAUAAAUAUUGGCUGAAUUAAUACAUAAGCAAUAGUCUAGAUAGAAGCAUAUAGGGCAUAGCACAGUCUACUCAGUAUAGUGCCUAGCACUUGAUAAGAACUAAAAGCAAAUAUUUAUAUAUGUAAAAAUAGAUGGGACUUGAAAUAUUAAUUCUAUUUCCUAUUUUGUGUAAUCAGCAGAAAAGAAUGUUAUAAGAGCUUGUCCGAUUUGGUUUGGUUUUAAAUUAGCAAUUCAGCAGCAAAGAGGGAAGCCAAUGAUAAUAGCCAAAGCCAAGCCAGAAGUCUGGGAACACAUCACAUGCCGGUGAAGACAGCAAAGACGUCACUGGUGUACAGCAAUCAUCAACCUUGCAUUGCCAAUAGCAGCUGUGGGCUGUAGGUUUUGUGGGAGAGCCCUGUCCAGCUGAGAAGGAAGAUGGAAGAAGGCUGGGAGCUCACAGUGGUUUAGGCAACUCUGCAGGAUUGAUGCACCCCCACAGCCUCUAAGCUGGAGUGUCUGAGAUCUGAGGAUGCAAAGCUCACUCCUAACUCAUUCAUGGACUUCAAAAUGACUUAAGAAAUAUCUCCCGGAAACUCAAACUUAGAGCCUCAUCCUUUUCAUGCAGUUUAGAACUCAUUAGGCCAUUUGACCUAAUCACAAGACUUAAGAGAUCCAUCAGUUGGAGACCGUGUUAUUCAAAACAAAACCAUCACAAAAGUCUGGCAAGAGAAAAACCUAUCCUCUCUCAGCGCUGGUGCCAUUCCUUGAGGAGCCACUGGGUCAGAACUGAGCGUCUUCCGAUGACUCAACCUCAGCUGGAGAAGAGUAGCUAGAAACCAAUCCAAGGACAAGCCCAAGAAUUAUACAAUCUGGAAAACAGUCUGUUGGCUUCCCAUUGUAUUGGCCUCAUUGCGUCCAGUAAAGGAUGCCUGAAUCCUCUAAAAUUCAGGAAACUUUAGGACCCAUUGUUGGGGGUUUUGAGAGAUGGAAAGCGAGUUGUGCAGCCUUGGCUGGGCUGCAGCUGCGGAACAUGCCUAUGGCAAUGGUGACUUCCAUAGAAGGUCUAUGCUUCCCCAAGGAAAGGGCCUGAGGGCAGGACCUGAGCUCCCGUGAGGCACUACAUGGCAAAAUAAAGCCAAGGUGGACAGAGAACCUUGUGUUGGAAAAACGUCAAGGAGGAAAAAAAAGUGAAACUGCACCAGGUCACCUUACUGCAGUCCCCCCAUCAAAGGUCCCAAGAGGGAAAGCUGCCUACAACCUGGAUUUGGCAGUGGCAGGUAUGUCGAAGACCUGAAUGAAGACCGUACAUGACUUACCUCCUCAGAAGAGGAAAGCAGUGCGCAUUUCUACCAAGGGCAGCUUCAUGUAGAGGGUUUAGAGGAGGGAAGUACCCAUUCAGAACAAUUACUGCCAGGCACUUUGCAUUUGUUAUCUCACUAAAUUAUCUGAACAAUUGGAAAAGCCAGGUUUCAUCACACAGAAAGAAGGAAACAGAAGCCAAGGAAAUUACGUAGCUAUAUCCCAAAGCUAAUUUGCAGAGGGUCAGGAUUGUAACCCAGGUCUCUCUGGCCUCAGGGGCUAUGAAUGCUCCCAUAGCAGGUGUGCACACGCCCAGCACCCAGCCCUCCAUCCAUGCUCAGUGUGAGAAGCAGAACGUCACACACCAUAGGGAGGACAAGAAAUGGGGAUGAGAAAAUGAGUUGCAGGAAGAGGGGGCUCCAAUGGAAGGAAGAGCAUCUUGCCUAGAAGGUAAAUUGGUCCUAGGAGGGCAGCAACCAAGACUGCUGGGGAAGCCAUCUCUGGAAAUUCUUAAAUGUAGGCAUGACCAACACACAGCCUGGAUCUCUUAGGUGGUAAUCUGCUGCAAAAAAGGAACUGAGACCAAAGUAAAUAAUUCCAUGGGUGUUUAUAGAAGAGACUCUCAAAGAUGUUCUGCACAUUGGUAUAUGCACAUGACAUAAAUUAAACCUGGGUUAAUACACAGAGAAGUAUGUGUGGUCAAGAACGUGUGCACACACACCUUUCUCUUUAUGCUUUGGGUUCAAGGGAGCUCAAGAGAACAAUAUCAGGUACAGAAGCUAUUGGCAGGCACAUGUGAAGUCUCUUAAGCUAACAAGGUGGGAAAAACAGAGAACUGGAAGACUUGGCUAGGAGCGGUUCAAAGGGGGAAUUAGACCAUUGUGUGAGUUCUUGUUGUGGAAAUCAAGCACCACCAGAAUUUAGCCCUGGAAUGGGAGCUGUGCCAUUGAGCAAGUUCUUAGACAUUAGCAAGGCAGCACAAAAUGUACUUUCACUCUUUAUGAGAGCCUCAGUGAUAUCCUGUACAGGUGAGGAAAUUGAGUCUUCACCUAGUGAGCCCUUGGUUUCCAGCUCGAGUGUUUGAAUGUGUCACUCCUUUUUCCUGUGGCUGACUUCCUCUUAAAGCCCAGGUAUAUGCUUAAAGUUCCCUUGCUCAGAUUGGCUCUCUGCCACGGGGCCUGCUCUCUUUAAGCUCUCCAUGAGACUCAUUGCUCUAAAGUGUCUCAUUUGUUUACCUAUUUAUUUUCUACCGCCUAGAAUGUGGGCCACAUGGGGCAGGGAUCCUAUUAUCUUUAUUUUUAUAUUCCUUCUUUAUGACAGCGUACAGAAGUGCUGAAUACAUGCUUGUUGAACAAAAGAUUAAACUCACUUUCCCAAUAAAUUGUUCUACUAAAAAGACACACGCAUCCAUAUGUUCAUUGCAGCACUAUUCACAAUAGCAAAGACGAAUAGCAAGUGCCCAUCAGUGUUGGAUUGCAUAAAGAAAUCGUGGAAUAGUACCAUGGAAUAGUACAUAGCCAUAAAAAGAAUAAAAUCAUGUCCUUUGCAGCAACAUGGAUACAGCUGGAGGCCAUUAACCUAAGCGAAUUAAUGCAGACAUAGAAAACCAAAUACCACAUGUUCUCACUUAUAAGUGGGAGCUAAACAUUGGGUACACGUGGAUAUAAAGAUGGCAACAAUAGAUACUGGGGACUCCUAGAGGGGAGAGAAGGAGGGUGUCAAGGGUGAAAAACCUACCUAUCUGGUAUUAUGCUCACUACCUAUGUGAGGGGUUCAAUUGUACUUCACACCUCAGCGUCAAGCAAUAUACUUUCCUAACAACCUGUACAUGUACCCCCU